rnacentral:rRNA from 1 species
UACAGAGGGUGCGAGCGUUGUCCGGAAUCACUGGGCGUAAAGGGCGCGUAGGUGGCGGCCCAAGUCCAUGGUGAAAGCUCGAUGCUCAACAUCGAGUCGGCCACGGAUACUGGGUUGCUCGAGCACUGUAGGGGCAGAUGGAAUUCCGGGUGUAGCGGUGGAAUGCGUAGAUAUCAGGAGGAACACCGGUGGUGUAGACGGCUCUCUGGACCGUAACUGACGCUGAGACACGAAAGCGUGGGUAGCAAACAGG